rnacentral:misc_RNA from 1 species
GUGAGUCAUCGAAUCUUUGAACGCAUAUUGCGCCCUCUGGUAUUCCGGGGGGCAUGCCUGUCCGAGCGUCAUUAUCCAUAACUCAAGCACGGCUUGUUUGUUGAGCAAAUUGCUUCCAUAAUUGGGAGCAGGCUUGAAAUGCAGUGGUGAACGAUACCGAGUUCGGUUGCCCGAGUGUUAUGGGGCUUUGUCAUGCACUCUUGUGGCCCAACUGGCGUUCUACCUUCCUAUUUUUGUUUUAUAACUAGGUUGACCUCGGAUCAGGUAAGAGUACCCGCUGAACUUAAGCAUAUCAAUAAGCGGAGGA